AGUGAACGCUGGCGGUAGGCCUAACACAUGCAAGUCGAACGGCAGCACAGUAAGAGCUUGCUCUUACGGGUGGCGAGUGGCGGACGGGUGAGGAAUACAUCGGAAUCUACUUUUUCGUGGGGGAUAACGUAGGGAAACUUACGCUAAUACCGCAUACGACCUACGGGUGAAAGCAGGGGAUCUUCGGACCUUGCGCGAUUGAAUGAGCCGAUGUCGGAUUAGCUAGUUGGCGGGGUAAAGGCCCACCAAGGCGACGAUCCGUAGCUGGUCUGAGAGGAUGAUCAGCCGCACUGGAACUGAGACACGGUCCAGACUCCUACGGGAGGCAGCAGUGGGGAAUAUUGGACAAUGGGCGCAAGCCUGAUCCAGCCAUACCGCGUGGGUGAAGAAGGCCUUCGGGUUGCAAAGCCCUUUUGUUGGGAAAGAAAAGCAGCAGGUUAAUACCCCGCUGUUCUGACGGUACCCAAAGAAUAAGCACCGGCUAACUUCGUG
rnacentral:rRNA from 1 species